CAGCCGCCGCGGUAAUACGUAGGUGGCAAGCGUUGUCCGGAAUUAUUGGGCGUAAAGGGCUCGCAGGCGGUUUCUUAAGUCUGAUGUGAAAGCCCCCGGCUCAACCGGGGAGGGUCAUUGGAAACUGGGAAACUUGAGUGCAGAAGAGGAGAGUGGAAUUCCACGUGUAGCGGUGAAACGCGUAGAGAUGUGGAGGAACACCAGUGGCGAAGGCGACUCUCUGGUCUGUAACUGACGCUGAGGAGCGAAAGCGUGGGGAGCGAACAGGAUUAGAGACCCCAGUAGUCCCUGUCUCUUAUAC
rnacentral:rRNA from 1 species